AUGUGCGACACCGUCGUGAUCACGGUCGCCGCCGACAACUCUCUCAUCGGCAAGAGCCGCGCCAACCCAUGGCCUGGCAUCCGCAAGGUGCUGCAACCAGCCACGCCACCGGCAGAUGGGAAUGAGAGCGUCAUGUUCACGUACAGAUUCAUGGAGGAGCCCACAGUGUCCACCGACGUGCAGGGAACCGAAGCUGAGCCGUGCGCCGGCGGCAGCGCAUGCACCAGCACCGACACGGUAGACAGUGCAGUCAACGCGCUAUGGACAGACGAGGGAUGGACCGCCGACGACUGCCUGCGCACCACCGAUCGAGAAGUCCUGCUGUACUAUGGCGACGGCUUGGGCCGUGCCGCCGAUGUGUGCCAAGAAGCGCAGCUUAUGGCCGGUAACUCUGUUAUCUACCUCAACGAUGAAGGCCCGGUCGAGCGGCUCCUUCAAUGGGUUGCAGGUAUAUGCGGGGGCAGCGGCCAUGCCUGCGCCGAAGCGCAAAUCAUGGCCAAUAACCCUUAUAUCUACCAGAAUGGCCUGGUCCAUUGGCUCCUCCGGUAG
rnacentral:rRNA from 1 species